UACAUGAAGCUGGAAUUGCUAGUAAUCACAGGUCAGCAUACUGUGGUGAAUACGUUCCCGGGCCUUGUACACACCGCCCGUCAAACCAUGAGAGUUGGCAACACCGAAGUCGGUAGUCUAACCGCAAGGAGGACGCCGCCGAAGGUGGGUUGAUGAUUAGGGUUAAGUCGUAACAAGGUAAC
rnacentral:rRNA from 1 species